rnacentral:rRNA from 1 species
GACGCACGCUGGCGGCGUGCUUAACACAUGCAAGUCGAACGGAAAGGCCCUGCUUUUGUGGGGUGCUCGAGUGGCGAACGGGUGAGUAACACGUGAGUAACCUGCCCUUGACUUUGGGAUAACUUCAGGAAACUGGGGCUAAUACCGGAUAGGAGCUCCUGCUGCAUGGUGGGGGUUGGAAAGUUUCGGCGGUUGGGGAUGGACUCGCGGCUUAUCAGCGUGUUGGUGGGGUAGUGGCUUACCAAGGCGUUGACGGGUAGCCGGCCUGAGAGGGUGACCGGCCACACUGGGACUGAGAUACGGCCCAAACUCCUACGGGAGGCAGCAGUGGGGAAUAUUGCACAAUGGGCGGAAGCCUGAUGCAGCAACGCCGCGUGCGGGAUGACGGCCUUCGGGUUGUAAACCGCUUUCGCCUGUGACGAAGCGUGAGUGACGGUAAUGGGUAAAGAAGCACCGGCUAACUACGUG